UACGAAGGGGGCUAGCGUUGCUCGGAAUCACUGGGCGUAAAGCGCACGUAGGCGGCUUUUUAAGUCAGGGGUGAAAUCCUGGAGCUCAACUCCAGAACUGCCUUUGAUACUGAGAAGCUUGAGUCCGGGAGAGGUGAGUGGAACUGCGAGUGUAGAGGUGAAAUUCGUAGAUAUUCGCAAGAACACCAGUGGCGAAGGCGACUCACUGGACGAUUGUUGACGCUGAGGUGCGAAAGCGUGGGGAGCAAACAGG
rnacentral:rRNA from 1 species